rnacentral:tRNA from 1 species
GCUCAGUUGGUUAAGCAUCUAACUCUUGGUUUAAGCUCAGGUCAUAAUCUCAUUGCUUUGUGGGUUCAAGCCCUACAUUGGGCU